CGACUGCCUCAGCUUUUUUUUUUUUUUUUUUCAUUUUGCCUCACAUUCCCUUUUUGGAAAUUCUGCUGCUGCUUCUUUUUUUGUGGUUCAUCCUUGCUUAAUGUUGUUCCUGCCAUCUGCGUAUGAAGUGUGCGUACGCCUGCAGGUGUUGGUCAAAGGUAGAACAGGCUGUAAUUGGUGAAGCAACAGGUUACUGCGAUCGCGUCGUCAAGGGAGGAAGAGAAGCUGCGAGCGACUAAAAGCACAUGAAAGUACACGCACACACCUACUUCCUACCUUUCUCCCAAAAGCCAGACGUUUUCCAUCCAGCCUUUACCUGUCCUAAUUAACCAGCUGGACUGAUCCCUCACCUUGGGAGCUGCUCUGAUUAACCCUCAACACCCCUUCACCUGCUUCACCCUUUCCUCAACCAGCCACCUGCAGUACUUUGCUGCACAUGGAUGCCUCCGCUCCAUUUACCGCGAAACCGGCAAGCGCUGGAGCCCACAUGCGAAAGAGAAAUACAGCACCCUCAACCUCACACACCUGGAAUGCAACAAGUCCUGCAUUUAGUAUGCUCAUGGUCCACCCUGUUUGCCGCCCUCCGAUGGCUGUGCAGUACGAGAAGUCAACGCUUCCUGAGGAAGAAACUGUGAGCAGAAUUCAGGCAGCAGUUUCUUCCCAACAGGAGCUCACUGCAGGUGACUUGUGAGACUGUGAAGAGUCAUUCAGGGCAUCCCUGGGCAAGAAAAAUCAAAUGGACUUUCAUCAGAAACAACAAGUGGACAGGCAGCCGGGGGCAGAGCAAAGUGUGGCCACGGUGCUACUUCUUGUCAAAAAAAGAAAAACCUAUGAAAAUCUAAUAUGCUAAAAAAAAAUCACCGGGCCUCUUGAGAGGACAGACAGAGGAAAAGGGGAACAGCAUUCUUCUAUUUGACGGCUAAUGUGUGUGAAAACAGUAGCCGUUGCAUGUUUAAAACUGAAAAAGAUACAAGAUUUCUAUCAAAAACGUUGUGAGAAAAGUUUCAGAAAUGUGCCCCUGAGAAAAAAAAAAUAAAGUUAGUUUCAUAACGCAG